CUAAGUUUUAGUGACAGAUAAUACUGUAGGAAUAGACUAAUUCUUUAUUUAUAUUUAUCUUGGUUUUAGUGACAGUCAUUAUUGUAGGUAGAAAUCAAAAACAUGUAGUGACAAUCCUCAGAACAUGUAGUGACAGUCUUCAAAGUGUAGCAGGACGCCCCCUUAAAGUUGACACUAAAUUUGAGUGUCACUCAAAGUAUUAUUGACUUUUACCUACAGUUUUUAACUUUUAGUGAAAUAUUUUGUGUGUCACGAUAGGUCAAUUUUUUUGUAGUGAAAUCUCUUCCAAGAGUUAAGUUUGAAAGGUGUAAAAGGCUACUUGGAGUGUCCAUCAAAAAUCUUAAGGAGUGUUAAAGCAUGAGAUUUGAGAUGUUCACCAACAAUAUUUUGUGAUAUUUUGUUUUAUCUUUAGUUUUAUUUUGCUGUGCAAGUUACCUCUGCAUGAAGUAUGGUGACCCAUACUUGUUGGAGUGGUUUAAGACUUUGUAAUCAUGGUUAGGUGACAGACCACCAUGCUGUCCUACUGUCUUUUUCUUUUUUGUUUUUAUAUAUAUUGUAUUAGAAACAAUAUUUUGGAGUGAAUGAAAGUGAUCUAUGUUUUCUGAAUUUAAAAGAGACUAACAAUAUAAUGUGUUAGAUUUGGAGGCAUAUAUGUUGGAAAAAUAAAUAUUUUUUCAUCUGCAUGGAGACAUAAUGCAAAGCAGUAUGUAUCAAUUUGUAGUUUAUUUUGUUGGAGUUGUUCAAACCUCAAGAACCUUUUUCUCAUCCACAUCUUUUUCUGGUCUAGUUCUCCGUGCAUUUCUUCUUUAAUGCUUUGCAGUGUUUCAACUGAGAGAGGUACUGUGGGGUGCAACAUUGACUGGGUUUUGUCUUCAGGAACACCUGUCAUUAAACAAAUGAGAUAUUACAUGUAUUUGUUGAUUGUGGAGCUUUGGUCACUAAAUAUUUCUGUCGUUUCUUCUUCCUCAUGUGUUUCCUUCUCAGAGGUUUUUUCAGUCAUCUCAACUUGCUUGAUUACUUCCAACGUUGGUAAUAUUAACGUGGUUUUGUCUUCAAGCUCACCUGCAAUUAUACAUAUGAGUUGUUUUUUGCUACUAUACCCACAAAUCUGGCUUAAUUUUUUCAGUUUUUGUACAUGUGAAAGAUAUCCUUUCUCGAAAACUGAAAAUUUCCAUUGCCACACCAAGCUACUGAUAAGGGAAAUGAGUUAUUGCAGUAACAUACAUUACUUCCAUUUAGAACAGAUUAUUCCUUGAGAAAUUUAAACUUGGCCUUAUCACAGAUAAAAAUUACUGAGUGAAGGGAUUUGAAGUAAUUCCUCAUUGUGUGUAAAAAUGAAGUUCAUUAAAAACUUAACAGAGCUUUGCCGAUUUUUUUAGACUUACUUUCUUUUUCCGUUUUUGGUAACUGUGUAUCAGUUUCUUCUCCUGUCUCUUUUGCUCUUUCAUGUUUUAUUUUCGUACUAUCCACAAUCAGUAAUUUCUCUCUGGCGUGUAACACUGAAACGUUUUCAUGUUCUCCAGCAUUAUUACUUUGGAUUGUUUCUGCAGCAUCCAGUCCUAAAUUUUGAUGGUCUGUGACCAGGGUCUCCUGGCUCUCUGUUUGAUAUUGAGGUUGACCUUUCUUUUCAUUUUCCAUGCUAGUGUUGGCUGUUGCUUCACGUACAUCCAAUCCCUAUUUUAACAGAUACUACAUCAAAAGUUGAACAUAUUGCACAUAAAGAAUAUAAAAGUUCUUCUAUUUUCUUGAAAACGUUAUUAAGAUGUUCAUAUGUUGAACUGGACGCCGUUGUUUGUUAUUUUCUAUUUUAUUUUUGGAGUCUUCUCAAACCUCUAGUGCUUUCAUGUUCUCCUCAUAAUUAUUGUCUGAUCUCUUUCUCUCAUGCGUAUCUUUCAUAACUGAUUCAGCCUCCGCGUGUAUUUCUUCUUGAACAUUUUUCUCUACUGUCUCAAGUUGGAUUGAUGCUAUAAUGGGCAAAGUUGACAUGGCUUUAUCAUCAGGCACACCUGUCAUUAUACAAAUCAGAUGUAAAAAUAUUUCUUCCUUGAAAGAUUAAUUAUGGUAGCUGUUUUUUGGUACAUAUGUAAGGUCUUUUCAAAAGUAAACACAAGGUUCCUUAGGUUUGUGAAAGAGGUUUUCUGUUGUCACAAUUUUUUUUUAAAAAAGCAUCUUGUUUUCACCUAAUAAAGAGCUACCUAAGGUUUAACGAUGUUUGGAGCACAUGUUUAUGAUACUCGUCUACUUCUUGUUCCAAGGGACUUAAUAAAUAAUGUGGGAUUAUUUUUACUGUUUUGGAAACUUAAGUUUUAUGAAUUUGGCUUAUUGAUUUCAAUUUCGAGAUGAAAUAGACAUAAAGUCACGGUGUCCGACAAUUCAAAAAAUUAAUUUUUUCCCCAGGUUUUUGCAACUAAACAUCAAUAGCUCCUUCCAUACCUUCUGAUCCAUUUAGAAUGAUAAUACUAUCACUAUUCUUGAUCUUUAAAUUCUCAUUAGAGCGUGACUCUGAAAUCUUUUCCAGUUCUUUUGUCUCAUAAUCCGAUUUUGUGCUUCUUUCUUUCGUCAUCAUUUCUUUUGAAUUGAUAUGCUUUGAAAUCACUUUCUCCAUGCUUUGUGUUUCAGAUUGAUGCUCAGUUUGUUCUUUUUCGGUGCAGACCUCAUCCAUAAGUGUUUGAUGGGGCUUCAUCUUUAUGUCUUCAAUGACAUCAACUUUGCCAAAUGCCCACAUUGGCAAUGUUGUUUGAGCUUCAAUAUCCUCAGGGAAUUUAAUUAUUCAGAAAAAUAUUUCAGCUCAACAUAGGUGGUAUUAUGCACGGUCGAUGCAUCAAGUUAAACAGGCUCUUGCAUGAGAGGGCAUGAUAGCAAUUUAAAAACUAAUUAUUUGUCUCUUGUCAUAAAAGCUUAAGUUUUAGAUCGUUACUACAUUAUAACAGUUUUACAUCUAACAGUAUGAUUUGCUUCCCAUUCCUAAUGUCUAUAUUCGUAUCAGUUGGACUCUGGAAGCUUUUCUUGUUAAUUAAUGUACUUACUUGAUUUUGGUAUUAUUUCCAUUAUCACCGGUCCUUCUGAAUUGUAUUCCUUGAUAUUUUGUACUCUAAGCUGUUUGCUUCAUGCGGGCAUUCCCCUUGCUUUUCACUUUCUGCACAUGCCUGCCUUGAUUCUUGAUAUAUCCCUUGAGGUCUUGGUUCAGAUGUUUCCUCAAUUAAUAAAUAUUUAGAAU